UACGGAGGGUGCAAGCGUUAUCCGGAUUCACUGGGUUUAAAGGGUGCGUAGGUGGGUAGGUAAGUCAGUGGUGAAAUCCCCGAGCUUAACUCGGGAACUGCCGUUGAUACUAUCUAUCUUGAAUAUCGUGGAGGUAAGCGGAAUAUGUCAUGUAGCGGUGAAAUGCUUAGAUAUGACAUAGAACACCCAUUGCGAAGGCAGCUCACUACGGGAAUAUUGACGCUGAGGCACGAAAGCGUGGGGAUCAAACAGG
rnacentral:rRNA from 1 species